AAUUCUUCUUUAGAAAUUUCUCCCAGUGUCACCUCAGUGAUCUACAGCCAAAUGCGACUCCCAGGAAAGAUCAUAAACUGAAUUAGUCUUGAAGUUAAGACAUCUUUGAGCUCUGUGGACAGCUUCUGUGGUUAAAUGUUUUCUUCAAAAUAAUACAUAAUUGACAGCCCAGACAAGGAGGAAUGUGUGGAAGCAGAAGUUCAGCAUUCCCACUGUGUAAUGUGUCCUCUAAGACAAAGUCGAGUAGGGCCAUUAUGAGAGUAAUGGCUGUUUCUGUUAGAGAAGCUAUUGUACUGUACGGCUAUUGUACCGUACAGCUGUCGUGCUGCUCAGCUGUUGUAACCUACAGCUAUUGUAGAACUGUUGUACUAUAUAGCUGUUAUAACUAACGUACAGCUAUUGUAACC